rnacentral:lncRNA from 1 species
UGUAGAGUCUGUACAAAAGGAGCCCAGCUCCCAGAAAUGAAUCAGAUCAGUUUUUGCAAAAGAAAUCAAAUACAAAAAUAUUAAGCUCUGCUCUUCUCUCUUCCUUCCUUCCCUCUUCUUCUAUGUGCACUAGUUAAGGUUGAGUUAGGGUUGACAUUUGGGUCUUCACACACCUUUCCUCUCACUCCUCGCUCGAGUUCUUCAGGUGCGAAUAUAUCUUUCUUUUGAGGCAAUUAAUGAUUAUUGAGCAUAAAUCAUGUUUCUUUCCAUCUCCAUUGCCCAGUUUCUUGUAAUUUUGAUUACCCAUUUGGUUGAAUUGUGGAUUGGAUAAGCUUGAAAUGACAGACAAGAAGAAGGUUGGAUAAGUUGAAUGUGUGAUGGUUUUAAUCAUUUAUUUAUUUAUGUAUUACAUGGAUUAAACUAGACGUAGUUGAAGUGCCAAGAGUUAUUUAACUUGGUUCCGUUCAACAACCAUUUUGCUUUUAGUUUUUUUGUUACUUUUUGGUCCUUGAGAUGAAGGAAAGUAUACGGGGGAAAGGAGGGAUGAAGAAUCGUGGUAAGAGGGAAGAAGAAACAAUGAAGAAUGAAUGAAAAUGAAAUCUUGAGAGUGAAAUUAACUUAUUUUUGUAUCUGAUGAUCUGCUAUGUAAUUACUGGAUUACUUUCCUUGAUACAACUUGAAUAUGCCAUUUGGCUCAAGCUAUAAAGGGAGAAUUUGAUGAUAUGCUUAAAGGAGUGGCAAACAAAAGUUUUUAUUGAAGUAAAGCGUGUUCUUGAGAUGGUACUUCAAAACUUGUAUUAACUUUUCUCAAUUUAACCCAUCCCUUUAUAGAGAAUUAUGAAGUUCAUAUUUUUGGACCAUUUGAAAUAAUUUAUCACGUAAAACUGACACAUGAAUGUAAGGUCACAUCGAAUAGGUUUCGCCUUAUUUGUUCGUGGAAGAAGAUGAAGAGAUGAGAUGUUUCCAAGUUGUCAUUCUUGGUUUUCCAUUUGUUGUAGGCUAGACCCGCAUCAUAGAGAAGGGUGGUUCUCCAUACAAAUUUUCUCACCCCUCCAGUGGUGAAGGAGUCAAUGCAAGCUGAUCCGAAAGCAGUUGUUCAAGCUGAUCCGAAAGCAAGUUGAGAUUUGGGUCUUAACACACCUUUCCUCUCACUCCUCGCUCGAGUUCUUCAGAUGCGAACAUAUCUUCCUUUUGGGCAAUUGAUUAUUGAGCAUAAAGCAUCUUGGAAACUGUGAACACGGUACAAAGUUUUUUUCUUAUCUGUGCAGUGAUGGUGAUGUGCGUGUGAACUGAACCCCUGUUACUAAAAAUGUUGACGAAAAAUUAGAGUACACAACUCUAACACAAGUGUUGGAAAGACAACACAAGUAAACAAAUUACUUGUAUUAUACAUACAAAAUAUUACAACAUACAAACUCUCGAGAACACUCUUUAGAAGCUAUGACACUCUUUCUAGAGACAAACUCUAGACCACUCACACUCCUACAAGACUACUCUUACUUCUCACUCUCCCUUGAUUGCCUACUUCUUCUUCGUUUAUUAUUGAUACAAAUGGUGUGGAUGCCUUCUCCUUUUAUUGGUAUGGAUGAAACCUUGGAGAAGCAUAGAAACAUCAUGCUAGAGAUAUCUAGAUAAUUCUACUACCUUCCUAAGCUAUAAUUAUCUACACUAAUCUUGCAUGUUGGUGGAAUCCUCACCAUUCUUCUAGACUCUUCCUCCAACUUGAACUUUGCAAGAAUUAUCUAGCAUGUGCAUGAAUUUUUCUUUAUGCAUAGGCUGGAUCCCAUGUCUUUGGGCUCUUUGGGCCAGUGUUGUGCUUUUAACAAAAAAUUGAGCUACACUCAAGGCUGGUGAUAUUGUGUUGGUUAGAGGAAAAGGAAGACUAAGGGGGAGUUUCCAUAUUUAAGAAAACUACUUAUUUUAUUUUUUUUAUCAAAUUACUAUAAACACCAUACAUGAGACACAUUGGUAAUUCCUGUACAGUUCCUGAUACCUUUCCAGUAUUUUUGUAAGUAGAACAAUUGGAUCUGGAAUCGUAUUCCAUUCUUAUAUGUUAGAGCAGUAUAUAACUGUAUUGUUAAGUUGCAAGCACUUAUUACACGUUUGUUAAAGAGUUUGAGUAUCAGUAUAACCAUCUCUUGUAUUUAUAUUCAUGUCUAACUCUUAAUAUGUCAUUUGCAUGGCAUUUCUGAUGCUCAAAUUUACAUUGGUUCAAAUAGGAGAAAUUAACCCUACGAAGAAGGGGAAACUUGCAGUUGAGCUCAUUCUUUAUUGAAAAUUUUCUGAACGGGGAACAAUCUAACAUCACCAUUCAUGGGAUCUGAACGAGUCUUGAGGUGGCAUUUUUGUAGCCCAAAAGCUAGAGGUUUUCUUCUAAAAAGCAAGCAUACAUUGCUUCGAAGUUUGACUUGCUUUUGUAAGUUCAACGUUGUACAUUUUUCAUUUCCUUACAUUGUUUGAAAUUAGAAUUGUACAUUCUUUGUUGUAUUAUCUAUAUAAUUAUUUUUUGAACAAAUUCUAUUCAAUUAUUAAGAGAUCCUAAUUUGUCGACUAUCGGCUGUGAAAUCCCAAGUGGGCUGAGAAAAAAGUGUGAAAAAUAAUGGGUAAAAAGAAAUUAUGCUGAUAAAAUUACACCAAAUGCAACUUACGUAGACGGGUUCUUUCAUUUUCUUCAUAAUUAAGUAU